rnacentral:lncRNA from 1 species
UGGGCUGACGGCGGGGGCGAGUUUGUGUGCCCCUGCUCGCUGAAUGCGGCUUCUGUGCCUCUGGGCGGGCGUGCAGGAGCCAGGACUAGGCGGGAGGGGACCAGGGCCUGGAGCGCCCAUUGGCCGAAGCGCAGGGGGUUGGGCUGGGCUGCUGACCGCACCUGGCCGGGAGCGAGAGCCUGCAAGGAGGCCGCUGUGGCGGCGGCAGAGGGGCAGGAACAUGGACCAAGCCUGGAGGACCGCGGAGGCCCGGCGGGUGCACCCCGCCGCCCAGUGAGUGAGCGAGCGCCCGGGCGGCACGCCCACCCCGAGCCAGCCACGCUGAGCCCGCGGAGAACCAGGCCAAGGUCAUCUGACACCUGGGCAGCUGUAACAACUGCCAUUGGAUUCUGCCUGUUUCUCCUCUUCUUUCCCACCCCUACAGUCCAUCUGCCACUCAGAAGCCUUAUCUCCUCACCUUUCUGCUGAAGACUUUCCCAGGGCUCCCCAACACCCACUGGAUUCAGGU